GGAGGCGGCUCUACACGGGAGGGAGCACUGACGGGAAGCGGAAGUCGAAAACCCAUCACCUGAAAACGUCAACGGGCAGGGACUUUCUCUCUGCCCAUAAUGUGAGUAGAGCCGGCUGGGCGAGUGCUUGGUGUUGGCGGAGCUGUAUGCUGCAAUUGAUACGUACGCUGCCGUGAUUGCUCUUCCUGUUUUUAUUGAAAGAAUUAAAACUACGUUACUCUCUGAACCCCGGUAUAAAGCAAGACCAUUAGGUUGCGCAUGAGGUUCGUUCUGACUGACAAGAGGCACCGCCGCAUCCUCCUGAGCUCCUUCACGCUGGGCUCGAGGAGGAGGAGGAGGAGGAGGAGGAGGAAGAGGAGGAAAUCUGCGGGAC